rnacentral:tRNA from 1 species
CUCUAACUAAGAGCAGCUUCUCUAGUGAAUCGCAUAGGAAGGAUCACAAAGGAUAGAAUUCCUGCCAUCGGUUAGAGCGUCUA